GAGAACGCUGGCGGCGUGCCUAACACAUGCAAGUCGAGCGGGGUUGAAGCGAGGGGUAACUCGAGUUUCUACCUAGCGGCGGACGGGUGAGUAACGCGUGGGCAACCUGCCUCAAGGACUGGGAUAACAGCUCGAAAGGGCUGCUAAUACCGGAUAAGCCUAUGGCCUCGCAUGGGGCCAUGAGCAAAGGGGAAACCCGCCUUGAGAUGGGCCCGCGUCCCAUCAGCUAGUUGGUGAGGUGAAGGCUCACCAAGGCGACGACGGGUAGCCGGCCUGAGAGGGUGACCGGCCACACUGGGACUGAGACACGGCCCAGACUCCUACGGGGGGCAGCAGUGGGGAAUCUUGCACAAUGGGCGAAAGCCUGAUGCAGCGACGCCGCGUGAGCGAAGAAGGCCUUCGGGUUGUAAAGCUCUGUCUGGAGGGACGAAGGAAGUGACGGUACCUCCGGAGGAAGCCACGGCUAACUACGUG
rnacentral:rRNA from 1 species